rnacentral:lncRNA from 1 species
AACUAGAUUGUAAGAGCCUGGCAGGGUUCCACUUAUUUGGUAAGACAUGGAAUCUCCAGAAAGUUGCAAACUUAGUGUGUAUCUGGACUUUCUUUACCACAACAGGGACCCGUGCAUGGUUGGCUUUCAAUUAUCUGGGGAAAAAGGAACCAGUGACCCUGAGACUCCAAGGUAAGGUGCUCCUCUCGGUGUGGGGCCAAAUACAGUGAGAAGACAUGGUCACAGGCAACAAGGAAGACAACCGGGGUAAGGCAGGACUGUACAUGAAACCACUGGAGGAGGAGAA